UGGUCACCUUAAGCUCUGUCCCCA
rnacentral:piRNA from 1 species